AAACUAACAAGGAUUCCCCUAGUAACGGCGAGUGAACCGGGAUGAGCUCAAAUUUGAAAUCUGGCGUCCUCAGGGCGUCCGAGUUGUAAUCUAUAGAGGCGUUUUCCGUGCCGGACCGUGUCCAAGUCCCUUGGAACAGGGUAUCAAAGAGGGUGACAAUCCCGUACUUGACACGACGACCGGUGCUCUGUGAUACGUCUUCUACGAGUCGAGUUGUUUGGGAAUGCAGCUCAAAAUGGGUGGUGAGUUCCAUCUAAAGCUAAAUAUUGGCGAGAGACCGAUAGCGAACAAGUACCGUGAGGGAAAGAUGAAAAGCACUUUGGAAAGAGAGUUAAACAGUACGUGAAAUUGUUGAAAGGGAAACGAUUGAAGUCAGUCGUGACUGUUGGGCUCAGCAGGUUCUGCCUGUGUAUUCCCCUCAGUCGGGUCAACAUCAGUUUUGACCGGUGGAUAAGGGCAGCAGGAAUGUGGCACCUCCGGGUGUGUUAUAGCCUGUCGUCGCAUACAUCGGUCGAGACUGAGGAACGCAGCUCGCCCUUGAGGCCGGGGUUCGCCCACGUCCGAGCUUAGGAUGUUGACAUAAUGGCUUUAAACGAC
rnacentral:rRNA from 2 species